AAACUUCACAAUGUGCGAAAGCGCGAUGAGGGAAUCCCAAGUGCUUGCUCGUAAGAGUAAGCUGUUUUUAUGUCUAAAAAGCAUUAAGAGUAAGGGCUGGGUAAGACGGGUGCCAGCCGCCGCGGUAAUACCUGCAGCUCAAGUGGUGAUCACUAUUAUUGGGCCUAAAACGUUCGUAGCCGGUUUGGUAAAUGCCUGGGUAAAUCGUGUAGCUUAACUAUACGAAUUCCGGGUAGACUGCUAAACUUGAGACCGGGAGAGGCUAGAGGUACUCCUGGGGUAGAGGUGAAAUUCUGUAAUCCUGGGGGGACCACCAGUGGCGAAGGCGUCUAGCUAGAACGGGUCUGACGGUGAGGGACGAAGCCCUGGGGCGCAAACCGGAUUAGAUACCCGGGUAGUCCAGGGUGUAAACGCUGCUUGCUUGAUGUUAGUUGGGCUCCGAGCCCAAUUAGUGUCGGAGAGAAGUUGUUAAGCAAGCUGCCUGGAAGUACGUCGCAAGACU
rnacentral:rRNA from 1 species